rnacentral:hammerhead_ribozyme from 1 species
AUUAAGUUGAUCAGUCCCAAAUAGGACGGAACGCGCGUCCUUGAU